GCAGAAGUGGUGGAAUGGCAGACACGCUAUCUUGAGGGGGUAGUGGGCGUAUACUCGUGUGGGUUCAAGUCCCAUCUUCUGCACCA
rnacentral:tRNA from 1 species